rnacentral:lncRNA from 1 species
UAAGGAUUCAAUUUGCUAGCUAUUUCAGACGAAGAUUCAUUCAAAUUUUGUUGCAGGUUAGAUUUAGUUACUUCUCAAUAACCUAUAUUAUGUCCUUUAAUCUCAGAAGUUUUAUUUGUUGAUUUUUCAAACUCCUUAGUUACAUGGAACUGAUCAGUAGUAUUUGCGCAUUCUUAGCAGACAGGUCAUGUAUGUUGUUAAUCAACUUCAGAGAAAGAAAGUAAUUGCAUUGUAAUUUGUCAGCAAAAAUUUGUCCAUUGCUAAUCCAUGUUCAAAACUCAUUGGAACAAACACAGGUAUGGAUCUAACAUUGGUUUAGGGUUCUACAUGCUAUUAUGUUUAAAGUUCCUUGAAUUUGAUGCCAGGUGAGGCCGAGGACCGUGAUGAAGAAGUUUAUGAAAUUUGUGUGGGUCAGAUCACGUAGGUUGU